rnacentral:rRNA from 1 species
UUACCUACGGGAGGCAGCAGUAGGGAAUCUUCCACAAUGGGCGAAAGCCUGAUGGAGCAACGCCGCGUGGGUGAAGAAGGUCUUCGGAUCGUAAAACCCUGUUGUUAGAGAAGAAAGUGCGUGAGAGUAACUGUUCACGUUUCGACGGUAUCUUACGAGGAAGCCACGGCUAACUACGUGCCAGCAGCCGCGGUAAUACGUAGGUGGCGAGCGUUAUCCGGAAUGAUUGGGCGUAAAGGGUGCGCAGGCGGUUGUAUAAGUCUGAAGUAAAA